UUUUGUAUCGUGCAACUCCAUUACUUGAACGUCCUAAUGUAGUAGUAGUAGUAGUAGAACCGUAUCAGUUAUCACGGUAUCAGGGCCUUUGGUGGGGAACAAGGCUCUCGACUUUGACGCCCAGUCCAUAUUCGACCGGGUGUUCUCAAGGUAUGUGAUCGGAGUAUUUGAAAUAGCAUGCUCAGAUUUUACAGAAAUCUGAUUUUGCUGAAUCGCUAGUUGGGAUUGUGUAUUAACUCUAUGAUUCUAGUUGGGGUUGUAUAAUAUCUCUAUAAUGUUAAUGCUGGAUCAUCAUAGCUUAAGGUUGGUAACCUGGUAUGUUGGUGGCAGACAUGUUGUUGCUCAAUGAUUAUAUAGUGCUCCCUCUGUUCAGAAAUACAUGAUGCCUUAGAAUUUUUCUGGUCAAAGUUUCUUCAAUUUUGACCUUCGAUCUAUACAAGUCUAUUCAAAAUGGUUACAUGAAAAUAGGACCAGAAUCUAUUUUCAGCUCCAGGUCCGGCCGGUCUGGUAGGAUAACAGCUGGGAAGGCAUGCACAGCUAUUCAGCCUCGUGCAACUUGGUGACUGGUGAGUAUCAGGUGUAUCAGUAGAUCCUGCAUGAGGUGUACAGGACAAGAGAGAAACAAACUGGGAUUCCAAAAAGAGUGGAAUUCACAGCUGGCUGCAGUCGUCUUCACCAAAUUUCUGCAGGGUGGCACUGAAACUGGAGAGGUUUCCUAAACUUGGGGAUUGACUGAAUGCGUCAAUUUCUGUGUCUGGCUAUAGUACCAAUGCAGUCUGCUUUUGAGGAGCAAGAAAUGCUGAAAAGCCCCUGCUUUGCUAAAUAUCAUGUGGGUUUUUUCUGGUGCCCCUACAAGCUACUAAUUCUGAGUGAGUUUAAUCUUUGCCAUGCAUGCAUGAUGCAUACACAUACCUACACACACAGAGAGCAUAUGGGCAGUAAGGGGGGACGCUUUAUUCCUUAUACUUUAAGUCCAGAGAGAAAGAGGCCGUACACAGUUCCCGAUUCUUUUAGGGCACAAAGAUCUCCGUCGCAGGAAAAGAAAACCAAUUUAAAUGGGCCCUCUCAAAAGAUGAGAGGUCACUGCAGGCAACAUCAGAUCCUAUCGAUCGAUCACGUAAAAGCAUCAUGUGUUGUAUCGCCAUCAUUGCAAGAUGAGUCCUAUUUCCUGUUGUUAAUGUGAUAGAUUGUAUAACAAUACGACCUGCGGGGAGGUGUAAAAGCAGCAAUUCACUAGUUCCUCUUAUCAUGCAGCAUGUAUGUAUGUACUCUCAACAUGUUAGAUAAUGCAGUAGAGUCCUGCAGCAUUUUGAUUUA